rnacentral:rRNA from 1 species
GACGAACGCUGGCGGCGUGCCUAAUACAUGCAAGUAGAACGCUGAAGGAGGAGCUUGCUUCUCUGGAUGAGUUGCGAACGGGUGAGUAACGCGUAGGUAACCUGCCUGGUAGCGGGGGAUAACUAUUGGAAACGAUAGCUAAUACCGCAUAAGAGUAGAUGUUGCAUGACAUUUGCUUAAAAGGUGCAAUUGCAUCACUACCAGAUGGACCUGCGUUGUAUUAGCUAGUUGGUGGUGUAACGGCUCACCAAGGCGACGAUACAUAGCCGACCUGAGAGGGUGAUCGGCCACACUGGGACUGGGACACGGCCCAGACUCCUACGGGAGGCAGCAGUAGGGAAUCUUCGGCAAUGGACGGAAGUCUGACCGAGCAACGCCGCGUGAGUGAAGAAGGUUUUCGGAUCGUAAAGCUCUGUUGUAAGGGAAGAACGAGUGUGAGAGUGGAAAGUUCACACUGUGACGGUAUCUUACCAGAAAGGGACGGCUAACUACGUG